UUGCUGAUGAUGUUGAUUUUCACGCGCGGGAAUCCGAGGCUGCCGACACUACAGGGAUCCUCUCCCUUUUAUAUGCCAUGCUUCAGCUCCGUGCGCAAGCACUCUGUAACCUCGUUCCUCUCCUUUGCUCUCUAAGUCUCUAAGUACAGAGAGAAAAGAAAGCUCAGUAAGCACUUUCACUCGUGAUUUAGGGCGAUUUAGAGUUGGAUUUUGAGGAUGAUGAAGUUGAAGAAAAGAUAGAUUAAGGCAUUAUUUCAGCACUUGGAGGAGUCAUUUGGAGUUUCUGUAGUAGGAAUAGCCGUGCAAAGUGAACUACGAAGUUGAAGAUCAAGGUAAAAUAAUUCAUCUUAGUAUCAAACAAGGAGGAGAAGACGUGAUUGAAGAAAUUGUGUUUCCAUUUUCGCUGUCCCAUUUUGAGGUUGACGAGGUUCAUAUAGUACCGGCGACGGAU